rnacentral:rRNA from 1 species
CCUACGGGUGGCAGCAGUGGGGAAUACUGCACAAUGGGCGCAAGCCUGAUGCAGCCAUGCCGCGUGUGUGAAGAAGGCCUUCGGGUUGUAAAGCACUUUCAGCGGGGAGGAAGGCGUUAAGGUUAAUAACCUUGGCGAUUGACGUUACCCGCAGAAGAAGCACCGGCUAACUCCGUGCCAGCAACCGCGGUAAUACGGAGGGUGCAAGCGUUAAUCGGAAUUACUGGGCGUAAAGCGCACGCAGGCGGUCUGUCAAGUCGGAUGUGAAAUCCCCGGGCUCAACCUGGGAACUGCAUUCGAAACUGGCAGGCUAGAGUCUUGUAGAGGGGGGUAGAAUUCCAGGUGUAGCGGUGAAAUGCGUAGAGAUCUGGAGGAAUACCGGUGGCGAAGGCGGCCCCCUGGACAAAGACUGACGCUCAGGUGCGAAAGCGGGGGGAGCAAACAGGAUUAGAUACCCGUGUAGUC